rnacentral:lncRNA from 1 species
GAUACGAAUAUAGAUAUUAGUUGGAUUCUUAAAUUUUUAUCGAUAUUUGGAUUGAUUUGGAUAUUAAAAUUGAUGUGGAUGGAUAAUAUCUAUACUAUUUUUACCCCUACUAUUGUAGGCUUUUGCCUUUCUCUCCCGUCUUUUUCACAGAUGCAUCCUUGGAUCAAUGAUCCGUCCAUUCAUGUGCUUGAUUGAAAAAAUCUUCGAACAUUUGAGUUGGUCCCUUACCCGGAAAAUAUUUCAUCGGGAAAUAUCUUAGAACAUUCGAGUUAGUUGCUUGGUCUUGAAAAUUCAAAUUUGAUAGAACUCAUGUUGGUCCUAUUUAUUUAUCUAAAAUUUGUUCUUGUCAAAUUCUGAUCCCG